GGGGAUAUAGCUCAGCAGCACAGCGCCUGCCUGGCAAGCACUAGGUCCUGAGUUCGAUUCCCAGUACCA
rnacentral:tRNA from 1 species